ACUCAAAUGAAUAGACGGGCACCCGCACAAGCGGUGGAGCAUGCUGUUUAAUUCGACAAUACGCGAAAAACCUUACCUAGAUUUGACAUCCCGGGCAAAGCUAUAGAAAUAUAGUGGAGGCUAUCCCGGUGACAGAUGGUGCAUGGUCGUCGUCAGCUCGUGUCGUGAGAUGUUUGGUUAAGUCCAACAACGAGCGCAACCCCUAUUCUCAGUUGCUAACAUUUAGUUGAGAACUCUGUGAAUACUGCCGGUGCAAGCCGGAGGAAGGUGGGGAUGAGGUCAGAUCAUCAUGCCUCUUACAUCUAGGGCUACAGGCGUGCUACAAUGGCUGGUACAGCGAGUCGCAACACGGCAACGUGAAGCUAAUCUCUCAAAGCCAGUCCCAGUUCGGAUUGGAGUCUGCAACUCGACUCCAUGAAGUUGGAAUCGCUAGUAAUCCCGAAUCAGAAUGUCGGGGUGAAUACGUUCUCGGGUGUUGCACACACCGCCCGU
rnacentral:rRNA from 1 species